rnacentral:rRNA from 1 species
GAUGAACGCUGGCGGCGUGCCUAAUACAUGCAAGUCGAACGAGGUGCUUGAGUAGCAAUACAAGAGUAUCCUAGUGGCGAACGGGUGAGUAACGCGUGGAUGACCUGCCCCAAAGUGUGGGAUAACAGUCCGAAAGGAUUGCUAAUACCUCAUGUGGUUAUCGGAUUUAGAAACUGAUAACUAAAGCAGCAAUGCGCUUUGGGAGGGAUCUGCGUCCCAUCAGCUAGUUGGUGAGGUAACGGCUCACCAAGGCGACGACGGGUAGGGGACCUGAGAGGGUGGCCCCCCANAAUGGAACUGAAACACGGUCCAUACACCUACGGGUGGCAGCAGUAGGGAAUAUUGCUCAAUGGGCGAAAGCCUGAAGCAGCAACGCCGCGUGUGCGAUGAAGCCUGGUCGUAAGCAUUUCUACGAGAUGAGAAACGGACAGUAUCGUAGGAAUAA